rnacentral:rRNA from 1 species
GUCUACAGCCAUACCACCCUGAACACACCCAAUCUCGUCUGAUCUCGGAAGCUAAGCAGUGACAGGCCUGGUUAGUACUUGGAUGAGAGAAAAGUAUCAUAUUUAUCACAAUCAAUGAAAAAUCAGAGUAAGCA